GACGAACGCUGGCGGCGUGCUUAACACAUGCAAGUCGAGCGGUAAGGCCCUUUCGGGGGUACACGAGCGGCGAACGGGUGAGUAACACGUGGGUGACCUGCCUUUAGCUCUGGGAUAAGCCUGGGAAACUGGGUCUAAUACCGGAUAUGACUCCGCGGUGCAUGCUGUGGGGUGGAAAGCCUUGUGCGGCUGGAGAUGGGCCCGCGGCCUAUCAGCUUGUUGGUGGGGUGAUGGCCUACCAAGGCGACGACGGGUAGCCGGCCUGAGAGGGCGACCGGCCACACUGGGACUGAGACACGGCCCAGACUCCUACGGGAGGCAGCAGCGGGGAAUCUUGCGCAAUGGGCGAAAGCCUGACGCAGCGACGCCGCGUGAGGAUGACGG
rnacentral:rRNA from 1 species